rnacentral:rRNA from 1 species
GAUGAACGCUGGCGGCGUGCCUAAUACAUGCAAGUCGAGCGAACGGACGAGAAGCUUGCUUCUCUGAUGUUAGCGGCGGACGGGUGAGUAACACGUGGAUAACCUACCUAUAAGACUGGGAUAACUUCGGGAAACCGGAGCUAAUACCGGAUAAUAUUUUGAACCGCAUGGUUCAAAAGUGAAAGACGGUCUUGCUGUCACUUAUAGAUGGAUCCGCGCUGCAUUAGCUAGUUGGUAAGGUAACGGCUUACCAAGGCAACGAUGCAUAGCCGACCUGAGAGGGUGAUCGACCACACUGGAACUGAGACACGGUCCAGACUCCUACGGGAGGCAGCAGUAGGGAAUCUUCCGCAAUGGGCGAAAGCCUGACGGAGCAACGCCGCGUGAGUGAUGAAGGUCUUCGGAUCGUAAAACUCUGUUAUUAGGGAAGAACAUAUGUGUAAGUAACUGUGCACAUCUUGACGGUACCUAAUCAGAAAGCCACGGCUAACUACGU